CCAUUUGAAAGCCCAUCCGAGUAUAUAUACAUAUAGUGGUGUGCUCUACGUGCAUCUGUUUUUUGUUUUCAAUAAAAAUCCAAAAGUCUUAUGGCGGGAUCUAUCGGACUGUUGCGUGAUGGAGCGGCUAAAUCCCAUCAGCGCGUCCAUAAAUCACCGAUUCAAAUUGCUGCUGCUGCUGCGGUCAAGGCGCUAUAUAUAUUAUAUCUUUUAUUUCAGGAAUAAAAAAAGAGAGGUAGCCCUGCGAAUCAAUCAAUCGUCAUAUCCGUCCGACACAUUGUUGUAUACAUUCAAUAAUGCGUAUUAUAUUCAGCAUUUCCCGCCGCCGGGCUCUUGAUAGUAGACAUGUGUCACACCUGCGAUUCAUCUUCCCUAUGUAUCUAUUUCCCUCUGUAUGGCCGCCGUUAUUUUCUUUUCAUGAUGAAAUCCACAAAUGAAUUCGACGCAGUCGUCCAGGAAAACUGUUGGAAACAAAAAAUAUAAUUCGACAAAAAAACAACUCGCCGCUGCUGUGUUGACGUCACGAACCAGGAUGUAUAAGUUGCCGCUGCGCUGCCACUGGAUUGGUGAUCCACGGCCAGAAUGGGCGGUUCCAUAUAUACCCUGGUCUCUUUUUUAUUUUAUUUUUUCCUCGGAGAAGAAAAAAAAAAAGUUCCGAUAUAGCUGCUAUAUGCGUGUAUGUGUGUGUGCGUGCGUGCUGUGGGUAUAUACAAAACGCGCAACUGAUGGUCUCGGCUUGUUCAGUUCUCUUCCAACAGCACCACGGGAGUCGACAGUGCUUUUUAACCGGCCCCCGACGACGACUAUUUUCUUCUUUCCUUUAAGGAAACUGAUUUUCAACAGACAAUAAUCGUCUUUUCUUUUUCGGGGGGGAUUCCAGCAGACGGAAAAGGUGAAAACUCAGCAGAUUUCUUCGUUCGAGCAAUUAACUUUGACAAAACAAGUCGGCAGACGACGGAAUUUUGUAAUUUGGGAAGGCGAAGAAUGUCCAACAAGUACUUCCCCAGUUCGUCACCCGACGAAAUGAACGAGAAGCCGAAAAUGUCGGCCGACCAGGAAUCCGCCCUGGAUAUGCACUUCAACCGGAACAAGACGAUGCACGCAUCCGACGUGGCCAUUCUCUCAGCCGAAACCGGAUUGUCGGAAGAACAAGUGCAGCAAUGGUUCCUGUUCAGAUUGGCGUCGUGGCGCAAGGAGCAGGGACUGGGACCUUUGGUCGGACGUUUAUACGAAUAAAUGGAGGCAAUUAAUUUUUGGACGACGCCACUAAUCAAAUAUGACCAUCAUACGCAUCGCGCAAACAAAAGUCAACCGAGAGCAGAAAUAAUACUACAACAACCCUCGGUUACCCAACACACACACACAGCAGUGACCUCUAUAUAUAUGCACAUACAUAUAACAUCAACUCCAAAGUCUAUAUAAACCCAAAUGAAAAUUCAAUUAUAUUACGACACCCGGAAAAUCCGGAUCGAAACUUCUUCAUCAGCUCCUUUU